CCUACGUGAGGCAGCAGUGAGGAAUAUUGGUCAAUGGGCGCGAGCCUGAACCAGCCAAGUAGCGUGAAGGAUGACUGCCCUACGGGUUGUAAACUUCUUUUAUAAAGGAAUAAAGUGAGGCACGUGUGCCUUGUUGUAGGUACUUUAUGAAUAAGGAUCGGCUAACUCCGUGCCAGCAGCCACGGUAAUACGGAGGAUCCGAGCGUUAUCCGGAUUUAUUGGGUUUAAAGGGAGCGUAGAUGGGUUGUUAACUCAGUUGUGAAAGUUUGCGGCUCAACCGUAAAAUUGCAAUUGAUACUGGCAGCCUUGAGUACAGUUGAGGUAGGCGGAAUUCGUGGUGUAGCGGUGAAAUGCUUAGAUAUCACGAAGAACUCCGAUUGCGAAGGCAGCUUACUAAACUGCCACUGACAUUGAUGCUCGAAAGUGUGGGUAUCAAACAGGAUUAGAUACCCCUGUAGUC
rnacentral:rRNA from 1 species